AAAUUAAUACCUUACAGGCUGUAGACAGUUGGUGCCAUAUGGCAUAAUGGACAAUAGUCCGCCACCCGAGGCUUGGGAACAGUACAAUCUACUUGUGCCUUCCAGCUUUCGGUGUGCCUGCCGAAAGCUUUUUAUUUGUGCCU
rfam:Thermincola sp. JR, complete genome.